rnacentral:rRNA from 1 species
UACGUAGGGGGCUAGCGUUGUCCGGAAUCAUUGGGCGUAAAGCGCGCGUAGGCGGCCCGGUAAGUCCGUUGUAAAAGUCAAAGGCUCAACCUUUGAAAGCCGAUGGAUACUGCCGGGCUAGAGUCCGGAAGAGGCGAGUGGAAUUCCUGGUGUAGCGGUGGAAUGCGCAGAUAUCAGGAGGAACACCGGUGGCGAAGGCGGGUCUCUGGGCCGAUACUGACGCUGAGGAGCGAAAGCGUGGGGAGCGAACAGGA